rnacentral:tRNA from 1 species
GGAGUCGUGGCUCAGUGGUAGAGCACUUGCCUGACACGUGGGAGGCACUGGGUUCAAUUCUCAGCACCUCAC